rnacentral:rRNA from 1 species
UACGGGGGGGGCAAGCGUUGUUCGGAAUUACUGGGCGUAAAGCGUGCGUAGACGGUUAUCUAAGUCGGAUGUGAAAGCCCCGGGCUCAACCUGGGAAUUGCAUUCGAGACUGAAUAGCUAGGGUGCGGUAGAGGGAAGCGGAAUUUCCGGUGUAGCGGUGAAAUGCGUAGAUAUCGGAAGGAACAUCAGUGGCGAAAGCGGCUUCCUGGACCAGCACCGACGUUCAGGCACGAAAGCGUGGGGAGCAAACAGG